UACGUAGGGGGCUAGCGUUGCUCGGAAUCACUGGGCGUAAAGGGCGCGUAGGCGGCGUUUUAAGUCGGGGGUGAAAGCCUGUGGCUCAACCACAGAAUGGCCUUCGAUACUGGGACGCUUGAGUAUGGUAGAGGUUGGUGGAACUGCGAGUGUAGAGGUGAAAUUCGUAGAUAUUCGCAAGAACACCGGUGGCGAAGGCGGCCAACUGGACCAUUACUGACGCUGAGGCGCGAAAGCGUGGGGAGCAAACAGG
rnacentral:rRNA from 1 species